AACAAUUUGUCCCGCGUCCCACGGCGUUUUAAAAAGGUUCCUAUUUUUGAAACGCCGUGGGACGCGGGACAAAUUGUUAA
ncrna:Eptesicus fuscus (big brown bat) microRNA efu-mir-9261 precursor (efu-mir-9261-1)